rnacentral:rRNA from 1 species
CCUACGGGAGGCAGCAGUGGGGAAUAUUGCACAAUGGGGGAAACCCUGAUGCAGCGACGCCGCGUGAGUGAAGAAGUAUUUCGGUAUGUAAAGCUCCAUUAGUCGGGGAGAGAAUGACGGUACCUGAGUAAGAAGACACGGCUAACUACGGGCCAGCAGCCGCGGUAAUACGGAGGGGGCAAGAGUUAUCCGGAUUUACGGGGGGUAAAGGGAGCGUAGACGGCGGAGAAAGUGUGAAGUGAAAGCCCGGGGGUCAACCGCGGAACUGCUUUUGAAACUUUUUUGCUGGAGUACCGGAGAGGUAAGCGGAAUGCCUGGUGUAGCGGUGAAAUGCUUAGAUAUUAGGAGGAACACCGGUGGCGAAGGCGGCUUACUGGACGGUAACUGACGUUGAGGCUCGAAAGCGUGGGGAGCAAACAGGAUUAGAUACCCUGGUAGUC